AGAAUCAACGCUGGCGGCGUGCCUAACACAUGCAAGUCGCACGAGAAAGGGACUUCGGUCCUGAGUACAGUGGCGCACGGGUGAGUAACACGUGAAUUAUCUACCUCCGAGUGGGGAAUAACUGAGAGAAAUCUUAGCUAAUACCGCAUAACACUUACGAGUCAAAGCAGCAAUGCGCUUGGAGAGGAGUUCGCGGCAGAUUAGUUAGUUGGCGGGGUAAUGGCCCACCAAGACGAUGAUCUGUAUCCGGCCUGAGAGGGCGCACGGACACACUGGAACUGAAACACGGUCCAGACUCCUACGGGAGGCAGCAGUGGGGAAUUUUGCGCAAUGGGGGAAACCCUGACGCAGCAACGCCGCGUGGAGGAUGAAAUCCCUUGGGAUGUAAACUCCUUUCGAUAGGGAAGAUAAUGACGUACCUAUAGAAGAAGCCCGGCUAACUUCGCGCCAGCAGCCGC
rnacentral:rRNA from 1 species